rnacentral:rRNA from 1 species
UACGGAGGGAGCUAGCGUUGUUCGGAAUUACUGGGCGUAAAGCGCACGUAGGCGGCUUUGUAAGUUAGAGGUGAAAGCCCGGGGCUCAACUCCGGAACUGCCUUUAAGACUGCAUCGCUUGAAUCCAGGAGAGGUGAGUGGAAUUCCGAGUGUAGAGGUGAAAUUCGUAGAUAUUCGGAAGAACACCAGUGGCGAAGGGCGGCUCACUGGACUGGUAUUGACGCUGAGGUGCGAAAAGCGUGGGGGAGCAAACAGGGAUU